rnacentral:lncRNA from 1 species
UUGAGUUUGUUUUAGAGGACCAAAUUGGGUCAGCACAGUUAGAGGAUGAGGAAGUAAGGCAAAUCAAAAGGAAGAUUUCAUGGAAGGAUGAAGGGUCUAAGCAAUUCCGACAUAAUGAGAAUGGGAGAGUGUACUAUGGAACCCGACUUGUCGUACCAUCCGACCCCAAUCUCAAGAAACAAAUCUUAGAUGAAGCUCAUCUCUCCAAAUUCUC